rnacentral:lncRNA from 1 species
AUGUCCUCCUCUGUCCUUCUCUCUCUGUCCUUCUCUCUGUUCUUCUUCUUUUUCUUCUCUAUGUCCUCCUCUGUCCUUCUCUCUCUGUCCUUCUCUCUGUUCUUCUUCUUUUUCUUCUCUAUGUCCUCCUCUGUCCUUCUCUCUCUGUCCUUCUCUCUGUUCUUCUUCUUUUUCUUCUCUAUGUCCUCCUCUGUCCUUCUCUCUCUGUCCUUCUCUCUGGUCUUCUUCUUUUUCUUCUCUAUGUCCUCCUCUGUCCUUCUCUCUCUGUCCUUCUCUCUGUUCUUCUUCUUUUUCUUCUCUAUGUCCUCCUCUGUCCUCUCUCUGUCCUUCUUCUCUCUGUUCUUCUUUUUCUUCUCUAUGUCCUCCUCUGUCUUCUCUCUGCUCUUCUUUUUCUUCUCUAUGUCCUCCUCUGUCUUCUCUCUGCCCUUCUUUUUCUUCUCUAUGUCCUCCUCUGUCCUCUCUCUGUUCUUCUUCUUCUCUCUCCUUCUCUCUCUGUUCUUCUCUCUCUGUUCUUCUUCUUUUUCUUCUCUGUCCUCCUCUCUCCGUUCUUCUUCUUCUCUGUUCUUUUUCUUCUCUAUGUCCUCCUCUGUCCUUCUCUCUCUGUCUUUCUUCUCUCUGUUCUUCUUUUUCUUCUCUAUGUCCUUCUCUGUUCUUCUUCUUCUCUCUGUUCUUCUUAUUUUUCUUCUCUUUGUCGUCCUCUCUAGUCUUCUCCUCUCUGUUCUUCUUCUCUCUGUUCUUCUUUUUCUUCUUCUUCUCUAUGUCCUUCUCUGUUCUUCUUUUUCUUCUCUAUGUCCUUCUCUGUUCUUCUUCUUCUCUCUGUUCUUCUUAUUUUUCUUCUCUUUGUCGUCCUCUCUAGUCUUCUCCUCUCUGUUCUUCUUCUCUCUCUGUUUUUCUUUUUCUCUCUGUUCUUCUCUCUCUCUGUCCUUCUCUGUCUUCUCUCAGUGUUUUUCUUCUCUCUGUUCUUCUCUCUCUGUGAUUCUCAUCUUAUUUCAUGCCACAGGGCUCCAAUUUCACCAUGUAGUCAGCUCAGAUAGCCAGACACAUCCUAUUAUCGACAGGAGGCCACUAUGA